rnacentral:rRNA from 1 species
GCGUUGUCCGGAGUGACUGGGCGUAAAGCGCGCGCAGGCGGCCUGCGAGGUGUCACGUGAAAGCCCCGUGCUCAACGCGGGAGGGUCGUGGCAAACCGGUAGGCUUGAGGCCGGUAGAGGUGGGUGGAACUCCUGGUGGAGUGGUGAAAUGCGUAGAGAUCAGGAAGAACACCCGUGGCGAAGGCGGCCCACUGGGCCGGUACUGACGCUGAGGCGCGAAGGCGUG